ensembl:lncRNA
GUGUGUGUGAGCAGCUGUUUCCCAAUAGGAAGUUGCUCUGUUCUCUGCAUGAAGUCCUGUAGCUUCAAGAGAGAGAGAGAGAGAGAGAGAGAGGGAGGGAAGAGAGAGAGAGAGAGAGAGAGAGAGAGAGAGAGAGUGGCAGAGAGGUAGAGGGGAGAGGGAGGAGGGAGGGGAGUGGCAGAGAGAGAGAAAGGGAGAGUGGCAGAGAGAGAGAGAGAGAGGGAGAGUGGCAGAGAGAGAGAGAGAGAGAGGGAGAGUGGCAGAGAGAGAGGGAGGGAGAGUGGCAGAGAGAGAGAGAGAGAGGAGAGUGGCAGAGAGAGAGAGAGAGGGAGAGUGGCAGAGAGAGAGAGAGAGGAGAGUGGCAGAGAGAGAGGGGUGAGGGAGAGUGGCAGAGAGAGAAGAGAGAGAGAGAGAGAGUGAGGGAGAGAGAGAGAGAGAUUAACGUGUUGGGCGACACGAUGACCUGCAUCACACUCUUUUUCUGAAGGCCAGUUCGGAAUUUCGUCCCACUCCUGACAGAUCAGAUAUUCUUCCUCUUGAAAUGUUGUCGCUCAGAAAGACGUGACCGCUGUUCUGCUUUUAUACACCAGGUAUAUAUUUUAUCGAUUUCUUUGCUUUGUGUGCGUGCAUGAGUGGCGUGUAACCCCACGGAGACCCAGUCACGGCACACCUUCUGCGCACGCUGAGCUGUGUUUAAAAUGGAAAGCUACAACAGUGUGAUGAUUGUGCAAAGUGUUCGUACCGAUAAACCCAAGCAGGACCUUCAUUGGCUUUCCUGCCGUCUCACGUCAGGUUCGUUACCCCCGUCUCACCCCUCGCCUGUCGUGUGUUGCAGCGAAUGUGAGAGUAUAUAAAAUAUAACCGUUUCGCACCGAUCAUCAAUUAUGGACGACGCUUCAUUCUAACUUCGGUUAGCCAAGCGGGCUAACUGUACGAGCUAUGCACACUCGCCAGAGGCACCGACGAUCUCUGCCGCUUCCUUCCAAGCUCCAUUUUCCUCCGUCGCGCUUCACAGUAUGCGAAAGGAUAAAAUGAUACUACGUUUAUAUGUCGAAAAACAAAUGAGAACCUAUUUGCAGGGAAAAAACUUGGUACUACACACGGCACCUUUAGUCCUGAAAUCGUCUUUUAUAUUCGAUCGGCUACGUGUUUGUAGGUGUUCUUGCACGGUAACAUGAUGAUGAUGAGUCUUUAUUGGUCACAUAUACAUAUGCACAGUGAAAUUCUUUUCUUCGCAUUGUCCAGCAUGUCAGGAAGUUGCGGUCAGAAAUGAUACAGCGCCCCCUGGAGCAGAGAGUGUUAAGGGAUUUGCUCAAGGGCCCAACAGUGGCAGCUUGGCAGUGCUGGGGCUUGAACCCCCGACCUUCUGAUCAGGAACCCAGAGCCUUAACCGCCAAGCCACCACUUCCCUUGUAAUCCUUGUGCUGAAACGUGACGUAUGGAAUCGCGCAAUCAAGUCACGGGUUGGAUGGAAUUCUUCUCCGUGAAGCAAACCUGUGGUCACGUAGAAGCCCCACCCCCUGAACAAACCCAGACUCUGUCCUGGGUGCGGACUUGUAUAUUGUAUAUCCGGGCCAAGUGUGAAAAAGCCCAAAGCAGCCGUUUAUACUGAGAAACCGCAUGUGAUUCUGCACAAGGAGUCCUGCAGCAGUUACAGCCUUUAUCUGUCAGCUUUCCAAGUCUCAGUAAAAAGGGUUUUGCUUUCUGGUCAUCUUUGAAAUAAUAGUUGCUUUGGACACCCUAUCGGUAUCAUGUUUGUUCUACUGAGAGGUUUUAGGCGAAUGAAGUCCCGAACAGUGAACUUCGUACCCUAAAAGAUAGUAAAAGCACCAUCGUGAAUAGUUGUAUGGUGUGCAUGGACAUUUACAAGUCCUGUUUGAUUGGGUGUAAUGCUGAACUGAUCAGUG